AGAAUUUUGACCAAAAGUAAGUACAGUAAAAACCAUGUACAUAAAACCAGUGUUCACCAGAAAGUUAUUGUUUGGGGCAAGCCAAACACUCAGACAACAAACAAAAGAAAAGAGGGAAGAGAGGGAAGUGGAUGUUUUUAAAGGGUUGUUGACCCCCCUCUCUUUCCAAUGAUCUGCUCCCCCAAAUUUCAACAACGACCCUUUUGCAAUUUCUGGUUUUAUGUAGAAUGGUACACUCUUUCAAGGGAAAAGCGUAUAAAGGGCCAUAUUUAUACUUUUGUCAUGGAUGUAUUGUACUAUUGUAUUUUGUAAUCGGCAUCAUACACGCUCGAUUAUAUUCCAGUAUUAGUAUCCGACCCGCUUUGCGAGUAACCCAGAGUCGUUGCAGGUGAAUCUAAGCGGCCAUAUGGGGGUUUAGUUUUUGCUUGUAGGAGUAGAGCUUGGGACCUCCAGUUCAAACGACUAGCAACGUGGCAUAUCGAUUUCUUGAUGGCAAUGGCUAGCAAGGGAGAUCGUUAUUGAUUCGAGUUGAUGCUUUCAUCAACUACGGUUUCUGUUGAGUCAUAUGUUCGAUAAAUGUCGUGUUUUUCAUAAUAUACUCUCCAUAAUGUGUAGAUAUGUUCGACAAUGUGUGUGUUUGUAAAGACGUUUUAUGAAAUUUAUGUAAUGACAAUUUUGAAUUUUUGAUAGUUACAUUCGUUUCGAU